GAUGAACGCUGGCGGCGUGCCUAAUACAUGCAAGUCGAGCGAACAGAUGAGAAGCUUGCUUCUCUGAUGUUAGCGGCGGACGGGUGAGUAACACGUGGGUAACCUACCUAUAAGACUGGGAUAACUCCGGGAAACCGUGGCUAAUACCGGAUAAUAUUUUGAACCGCAUGGUUCAAUAGUGAAAGACGGUUUCGGCUGUCACUUAUAGAUGGACCCGCGCCGUAUUAGCUAGUUGGUAAGGUAACGGCUUACCAAGGCGACGAUACGUAGCCGACCUGAGAGGGUGAUCGGCCACACUGGAACUGAAACACGGUCCAGGCUCCUACGGGAGGCAGCAGUAGGGAAUCUUCCGCAAUGGGCGAAAGCCUGACGGAGCAACGCCGCGUGAGUGAUGAAGGUCUUCGGAUCGUAACACUCUGUUGUUAGGGAAGAACAAAUUUGUUAGUAACUGAACAAGUCUUGACGGUACCUAACCAGAAAGCCACGGCUAACUACGUGCCAGCCGCCGCGGUAA
rnacentral:rRNA from 1 species